rnacentral:tRNA from 1 species
GUCUCCGUAGCUCAGUCUGGAUUAGAGCACUUCCCUCCUAAGGAAGGGGUCGUAGGUUCAAGUCCUACCGGAGACG